GACGAACGCUGGCGGCGUGCUUAACACAUGCAAGUCGAACGGAAAGGCCCUGCUUGCAGGGUACUCGAGUGGCGAACGGGUGAGUAACACGUGGGUGAUCUGCCCUGCACUUCGGGAUAAGCCUGGGAAACUGGGUCUAAUACCGGAUAGGAGCCAAUUUUAGUGUGAUGGUUGGAAAGUUUUUUCGGUGUAGGAUGAGCUCGCGGCCUAUCAGCUUGUUGGUGGGGUAAUGGCCUACCAAGGCGGCGACGGGUAGCCGGCCUGAGAGGGUGGACGGCCACAUUGGGACUGAGAUACGGCCCAGACUCCUACGGGAGGCAGCAGUGGGGAAUAUUGCACAAUGGGCGCAAGCCUGAUGCAGCGACGCCGCGUGGGGGAUGACGGCCUUCGGUUGGUAACUACUUCGUCUAGGACGAAG
rnacentral:rRNA from 1 species